AGAGUUUGAUCCUGGCUCAGGAUGAACGCUGGCGGCGUGCCUAAUACAUGCAAGUCGAGCGAACGGACGAGAAGCUUGCUUCUCUGAUGUUAGCGGCGGACGGGUGAGUAACACGUGGAUAACCUACCUAUAAGACUGGGAUAACUUCGGGAAACCGGAGCUAAUACCGGAUAAUAUUUUGAACCGCAUGGUUCAAAAGUGAAAGACGGUCUUGCUGUCACUUAUAGAUGGAUCCGCGCUGCAUUAGCUAGUUGGUAAGGUAACGGCUUACCAAGGCAACGAUGCAUAGCCGACCUGAGAGGGUGAUCGGCCACACUGGAACUGAGACACGGUCCAGACUCCUACGGGAGGCAGCAGUAGGGAAUCUUCCGCAAUGGGCGAAAGCCUGACGGAGCAACGCCGCGUGAGUGAUGAAGGUCUUCGGAUCGUAAAACUCUGUUAUUAGGGAAGAACAUAUGUGUAAGUAACUGUGCACAUCUUGACGGUACCUAAUCAGAAAGCCACGGCUAACUACGUGCCAGCAGCCGCGGUAAUACGUAGGUGGCAAGCGUUAUCCGGAAUUAUUGGGCGUAAAGCGCGCGUAGGCGGUUUUUUAAGUCUGAUGUGAAAGCCCACGGCUCAACCGUGGAGGGUCAUUGGAAACUGGAAAACUUGAGUGCAGAAGAGGAAAGUGGAAUUCCAUGUGUAGCGGUGAAAUGCGCAGAGAUAUGGAGGAACACCAGUGGCGAAGGCGACUUUCUGGUCUGUAACUGACGCUGAUGUGCGAAAGCGUGGGGAUCAAACAGGAUUAGAUACCCUGGUAGUCCACGCCGUAAACGAUGAGUGCUAAGUGUUAGGGGGUUUCCGCCCCUUAGUGCUGCAGCUAACGCAUUAAGCACUCCGCCUGGGGAGUACGACCGCAAGGUUGAAACUCAAAGGAAUUGACGGGGACCCGCACAAGCGGUGGAGCAUGUGGUUUAAUUCGAAGCAACGCGAAGAACCUUACCAAAUCUUGACAUCCUUUGACAACUCUAGAGAUAGAGCCUUCCCCUUCGGGGGACAAAGUGACAGGUGGUGCAUGGUUGUCGUCAGCUCGUAUCGUGAGAUGUUGGGUUAAGUCCCGCAACGAGCGCAACCCUUAAGCUUAGUUGCCAUCAUUAAGUUGGGCACUCUAAGUUGACUGCCGGUGACAA
rnacentral:rRNA from 1 species